CCCUGCUCGCAUCUUGGCUUGCUGAGGCUGCGGGUCUUGGCCGGGCCUUCGAGAAUCCCCCGCCGCCUCCCCUUCUGGAUGUAUCUGCGCCGCCUCCUUUCUCCCUCCCCUUCCUUCCAGCCCUUCAUUCCCUCGGGGCGGGCGGGCAGGCCGGCAGGCCCCGCGCAAACCUGGGGAAAGGAGUCGACCUUUGAGACCUGCUUAUUCAUGGCUGUUUCACGGAUGUCGAAGUGGAGGCUCAGCAGGGUUGGAGGUUCCCGGAGUCUCCCAGCUGAAAUGGAAGUGCUUGGUGAGGUUUGGUGUGUCCGAGCCGAAGAGCAGCCAAUGACAGGCCUGGGGAUCGUCUGGCACAGCCCACUUGACAAGGCCUUGGAAACUUGGUCUCUGCAGCAGCAACCGGAUUUCAGCCUGGGCCUCGGACACCUCGGCCUGGGACUGUACAUCUUGGCCUCUUACCUACUGUGUCCGCGUCAGCCUCCCUCACAGCCUGAUGGCCCCUGCGGCAGCCCCAACCCGGUUUCAGGGGCUAAGAAAACUACAGUUGCAUGAACGGGUGGAGGUGAGUGGGAGGCAGAAGCGGCGGGGAGAACCAGUCUGUUCCGAGAUCUCUGGACCAACCAGUGGAUCCUGAUGGUCAGCCUUGUCUAGAGCCCCUUCCAGCGUGCAGGCCAGUCCUCCUGGCAUUCUUCUAAUUACACCGAGCUGUGAGUUAUGUGUGCCAAGUAUGUGCUGGAUUUUGUACCAAGUGCUUUCCAUUCAUCAGUUCAGGGUAGUGAUGCAGGUAGCUCCAGGCUCAGAGAGGAACAGUGACUUCUCCCAGGUCACACAGCUGGAAAGUGGCUGAGUCUGGAUUCAAACCCAGACUUCCUUGUUGCUAGGACCUGUAUUUUCAACCACUGCCUAUGCCUCUAUAACGAGCCAGCUUAUGGCUGUGUUCACGCAAAGAGAAAAGCAUCCAAAUGGGAAGGCUGGAGAAUUCAAGCAAUUUUCCCGCGUGUCAGACAGUCCUGUUUCCCUCUCCCUUCAAAAAAAGUCCUGGAUUAUCUCUCUCUCUCUCUCUCUCUUUCUUUUUCCUUUUCCUUUUUGUUUUUUUUCUUUGUUUGUUCUUUCUUUCUUUCUUUUUUUUUUUUUUUGAAACAGGGUAUUACUCUGUUACUCAGGCUGGAGUGCAGUGGUGUGAUCACAGCCCACUGCAGCCUUGAUGUACCUGUGUCCCUGGCCUCAGGUGAUCCUCCCACCUCAGCCUCCCAAGUAGCUGUGACUAUCCCGAGAAGCUGAGACUACAGGUGUGCGCAUGCCAUCACGCCUCACUAAUUAUUUUACUUUUUGUAAAGACAGGUUUUUUUCGCCAUGUUACUCAGACUGGUCUUGAACUCCUGGGCUUGAGUGAUCCAUCGGCUCCCAAAGUGUUGGGAUUACAGGCAUGAGCCACUGCACCUGGCCUGACAUCUCAGUCUUGAUUUGCACUUUUUGCCCAAAAUAAUCGAGUGUAAGGCAGGCCAGAAGUGGUCAGGGGGCAGGGACAGUCCCCAGCAGGGUGGCAAGUCUUUCUGCAACAUUUUUGGAAUACAAGCAGAAAGUGAUUUGCUAUUCCACACAAAACAUGAUUGGGAGGGCACUGGAUGAAUACAACUAAGAUCUAAGCAUUACUUCAACAAAUAUAUACACAGAGCUAAAUCAGUAUCAGGAAGUAGUGGAGAAGCACUCAGAAUAGGCACAGAUCUCCACAGCUGUUAAGAGUCUUGUUACUUUUUUUUUUUUUUUUUGAGAUGGAUUCUUGCUCUGUCGCCCAG